CCUACGGGAGGCAGCAGUGAGGAAUAUUGGUCAAUGGACGAGAGUCUGAACCAGCCAAGUAGCGUGAAGGAUGACUGCCCUAUGGGUUGUAAACUUCUUUUAUAUGGGAAUAAAACGUUCCACGUGUGGGAUUUUGUAUGUACCCUAUGAAUAAGGAUCGGCUAACUCCGUGCCAGCAGCCGCGGUAAUACGGAGGAUCCGAGCGUUAUCCGGAUUUAUUGGGUUUAAAGGGAGCGUAGGUGGAUUGUUAAGUCAGUUGUGAAAGUUUGCGGCUCAACCGUAAAAUUGCAGUUGAAACUGGCAGUCUUGAGUACAGUAGAGGUGGGCGGAAUUCGUGGUGUAGCGGUGAAAUGCUUAGAUAUCACGAAGAACUCCGAUUGCGAAGGCAGUUCACUGGACUGCAACUGACACUGAGGCUCGAAAGUGUGGGUAUCAAACAGGAUUAGAUACCCUAGUAGUC
rnacentral:rRNA from 1 species